UACAGAGGGUGCGAGCGUUAAUCGGAAUUAUUGGGCGUAAAGGGCGCGUAGGCGGCUUGAUGUGUCAAAGGUGAAAUCCCUCGGCUCAACUGAGGAACUGCCUUUGAAACUGUCUGGCUUGAGGCCGGGAGAGGGUAGCGGAAUUCCCAGUGUAGCGGUGAAAUGCGUAGAUACUGGGAGGAACACCGGUGGCGAAGGCGGCUACCUGGACCGGUUCUGACGCUGAUGCGCGAAAGCGUGGGUAGCAAACAGG
rnacentral:rRNA from 1 species